rnacentral:rRNA from 1 species
GGGUUGUGAGGUUAAGCGACUAAGCGUACACGGUGGAUGCCCUGGCAGUCAGAGGCGAUGAAGGACGUGCUAAUCUGCGAUAAGCGCCGGUAAGGUGAUAUGAACCGUUAUAACCGGCGAUUUCCGAAUGGGGAAACCCAGUGUGACUCGUCACACUAUCAUUAACUGAAUCCAUAGGUUAAUGAGGCGAACCGGGGGAACUGAAACAUCUAAGUACCCCGAGGAAAAGAAAUCAACCGAGAUUCCCCCAGUAGCGGCGAGCGAACGGGGAGGAGCCCAGAGCCUGAAUCAGCAUGUGUGUUAGUGGAAGCGUCUGGAAAGGCGCGCGAUACAGGGUGACAGCCCCGUACACAAAAGCGCAUAUGCUGUGAGCUCGAUGAGUAGGGCGGGACACGUGGUAUCCUGUCUGAAUAUGGGGGGACCAUCCUCCAAGGCUAAAUACUCCUGACUGACCGAUAGUGAACCAGUACCGUGAGGGAAAGGCGAAAAGAACCCCGGCGAGGGGAGUGAAAAAGAACCUGAAACCGUGUACGUACAAGCAGUGGGAGCCCCACCACUAAGCC